rnacentral:lncRNA from 1 species
GAUUUGCCCUAGAUUUGUACGAUAAUUGUUUCGUAAAAUGAACAUAGUAAAUUUGUCAUUUGGCUACUCUUAAAGCUUGCUUUAUCUAUUAUAGUUGUGAUCUAUAUUUCCUUUUUAAGAUAUCGCAGAAUUUUGUCACUUGCAGCUAUUUGUUGGAUUUUUAUAUCAUUUUCUGUUACUUUACAUGAUACCAUGGAUAUAUC